rnacentral:sRNA from 1 species
GUCGGGCAUGGUGGUGCAUGCCUGUAAUCCCAGCAGCUCAGGAGGCUGAGGCAGGAGGAUCACAAGUUCAAAGCCAGCCUCAGCAACUUAGCAAGGCCCUAAGCAACUUAGUUAGACCCUGUCUCAA